CUUUUCUGCAUUUUAGUUCUGAAGUCCAAGCAGUCAGAGGCCCGCCAAAGAUCCAAAUACCAGCACCCCUCCUGUUCACAAGCGCACACACACACAGAGGCUCCGUUAAAUUAUGCAAAAAGGCCAUUCAACAAAUAUGGCCUUCCCAACACAAAAGAGACGGCUUAUUCUGACAUCCCCCCUCACAUUUCUAGUUUUCCUCUUCCUUUCUCGGUGCGGGACCUCCAGAUAACCCCCCCUGAACAAGUAUCAAGUUAUCAAGUUGCACCAAGCUAUUUGUAAUAAGAGUAUUUUGUCUAAUCCCACAUUGCAGUUGAAUUUUCUUAAUGCUGAGCUGGUAAAGCCUGGGAUUAGAGCAGAGCAGAGGAGAGGAGAGGAGGGGGGGAGAAAAGUUUUGUCCCUUCAGCCGGGAGGAUUUCAAGAAGCGCGGAUCUGCGGGGAUGUUGUCGGUGCUUCUUAAAACCAUGAUGCAUAAACCUCGGAGUGGCUUGUUGCGGGAAGCUUCCGUCCCGCCGCACGUCGAGCCGGAGUUCUGUCCCUCAGGUGCGCCUCUCACCGAGCCGCGGAGGCCGAGCGGCGCGCAGCACCUGUGAGGCCCGGGAAAACGUAGCGGAGCUCCCGCAAAUCAGGCGCUUUUUACGGAAGAAAGGAGACUGGAUCCAGAUGUUUGCCCCUCUUCCUGCUGCAGCUGGAACAUUGAUCAAUUCUCCAUAGCCAAUGAGUGAUGCCGCAGAGCGUCCUCUCCAGGUGCUCGUCCUCUGCCUCGGCCCUGCGGACGACAAACAUCAAAAGAUCAGAAGUCUUGAAGGGGCUGUGUGUGUGUGUGUGUGUGUCAGUGUGGUGGGGGGAGGCAGACACAGGUAACGCUGUUGGUGCCAUGGUGGCCUCGUGCCAGGGGCCACGCUCUGACCUUUCACCCUCCUGGCACCACGGAUCUGGAAGGGAUCCCACCCCUGCAGGUCCCUGACCAGUGCAUCUCGUUUGUUGACCAGUAUGACCAGUUCAUCCAGCAGCAGCUGCUCUCGUCUCUUCUGGGCUUCAGUUUUUUGCCAGUCUGCAAAAUCAGAGGAACAUUCAGACUUUGAGACACCCAAAGAUAUUUUGACACCUGAAGGAAAAAAUGUUAUUUAAUGACCCUUAAAACCUGCGUCUCUAAAAAACCCAACAUCUUCAAUGAAAGUAUUUCUGUACACUUUCUUCAGGAGUUCAGACCGUUCUGCAGAAAACCAACAACAUGCUGAUUAAAGCUCCUCAUCAUCUUCUCCUGUUGGACUGAGACCAGAACAGCUCUGAGGAUGGAGCAGUGUGUGAAUGGGACCCGUAUGGGACAUGUAAACACUCUCCAUCAGGUUCUGUGUGUGCAGAGGUAAUGCGGUGACCUUGUUAGGUUAUUGCACAACUUCGUGAUGCUCACAGAGAUACAAAGGUUCACAUUCCCACAGCACCAUGCUGCCACUGUCAAGGCCCUGAUUAUUAAUCAGAGAACAACUGGAAAUGUUGGAUCAAACAGAACUUCUCUACUCAGUUGUUUUUUAGCCUGAAACAAUGAAAUGUUUUAGUCACAUUAUGAUUAAGGUAAACAUCUUUGGUUGAAACUUUUUAAACAGUUCUUUCAUCUGAAUGUCACCUUGGAGAAAACUGUUUCCUCGUCUGUUCAGUUAAAUAAACAAACAAGCAGGUGAGCCCCUGACGCCAGUCCUAAUUCUCCAGGGUCUUUCCAGGAAGGGGCCCCACAGGGCCCAGGUGGGUCCCUGAUCCAAAUCCCCUCAGCCUCCCUCUGGAGGAGGGGGGGGGGGGGCUGCCAACAGGAGAGCACCCACUCCCCCUGGGGCUCAAAUAUCCGCCUGCCGCCCUCGGAUCUACGCUUAGCCAACACCAUGGCAGCGCUCCUCCCUCCCUGUAUCCCUCCACCCCUAAAAGCCUAAAACAUUAGUGUCAUUACAACAUUUCUGCACCAUUUCAACAACUGCUCUACAUAUUUAUCCUGCAAAGACUGAACAACAUGUGUGGCACAUACUUUGAAUGAGAUCCGACUUUGUUCUGAUCACAGAAGUCGCCUUGUCUCUGCUGCUCAGAUAAAGAACACCAACACUUGAAUGUGCAGAUUUAUUCAGCUUUCGCACAGCUUAAGGAAGGCAGGAAAUCUGCAGCUUCUCCACCACUCUGUGUGAAGAAGUCCCCCCCACCACAAACCCUCCUUCGUUUCAUCCUAGAGAGAAUCCAAACACAGCUGAAGCGCUGCGUGACUUCUGUAGGCCAACUUCUCUCUAUCAAUAUUUAACCGGCUAUUGAUCCGAGAGGAAAAAGAAUGUUGUGAAAUGUCAGUCCCAAAAUAAGUGAGCUUUAUUAAAAAUAAAUAUUCCCUCCCUUCGAGUGAAAUUGCAGCAGUUGGACUGUGUGUGUGUGUGUGUGUGUGUUAGAGUGUCACGCUGGGCCCAGUGUGUUGGUCCUGAAAGGUCUGCACUCUCUCCAUUGGCCCUGCUAGUCCCUUUGAAGUCAGCUACGGAGCGAAACAAACACAGUCCCAAUAUUUGGCUCUCAGCGUUCCCGUCUUCUUGCCUUGUUCUUUGGGCUUUUUUCACUUCAUAAGAAGCAAAUUUACUCCCCACCCUCUGUGCGGAAAUCGUCAAACACUUAAUAAAUACGUCUGAACUUGCUUCUGAACAUUGUGUGGGUUGCCCUUUUUUGACACAAGUGGUAAUUUAGGAUACAGAGAAACUGGGACAAUCAGUGAAACAGAGAUGAGUCAUCAGAUUUAGGCAAUUGUGUGACAGGAAUUUGUGCAGCCAGAUCCAUAACUCUCCCACAGCGUUCCCCGAUAAGCCGGCUCACAGAAAGGAAAAAAAUUAAUUUUUACAACCCUCAUUUAAAACCACAGAAAAGUUGAUAAUUCCUUCCUCUUCCUUCACAGCAACAGAGAGCCAAAAAGCCAAAUCCUGGUCGAAUCUUGAAGGGGUAAGAAGCAGACUGUGGGGGGGUGGGGAUUACUGCUGUCAAUCACAUGGUGCAGGGACCCGCCCCCCUCAUUAGGAAGGUAAACAAUAAAAAGAGUCGAUGAGAGACGUGACCAGGCAACACUAGAGCGGGGCAGGCUGGGUAACCAGAGACAGAGGAACAAACAAAACACCCUGCAGGCACUCAACCCCCCGACUCCACACCCCCACAUAAGCUCCGCCCCCUCCAUCAGAGUGCGAGAGAGAGGGAGAGAGAGUCAGAGGUAGAGGGAGGUUAAAGACUUAGGAGGUGUUCAGAUGAACCUCACCGUGCACGCCUAGCGGUUACCAUGUGAGCCUGCUCAUAACACACAAGAAUGUGCUGGCCCAAAUCCGUACAAAACCCUCUCUCCCUCCAUCCCCGCCUGCCUCGGCUCUCACCGGCACUAAAUUUAUUCAAGAUUGCAAAGUGGUCCAAAGCUGCGUCGCCUCAAAGCCGGGCGAGACCGCCCGACAUGCAGCUGCCUGCCUUGUUCUCCUUCUCGUACUAAAUAUGACAACAAAACGU